GGCUGCGUAGUGUAGCGGUUAUCACUUCAGAUUCUGAUGCCAGUAUUCUGGCGACCCCGGUUCGAUUCCGGGCGCGGCCU